rnacentral:sRNA from 1 species
CCCAAGGGAAGAGGAGUGAGAAUUAUGUUUCAGUUAAAGAGCAUGCAAACACUGAACCACAGAGGCGGGUUUGGGAGUGGUGAUUGAGUUUGUCGAAGCUGUCUCCUCCAUCAUACUGGGCUCUGCCAGUGUGGACAGCACAAGCUUAGCUCUCUCUGUGGGUUUUUCCGAGCAAGAUCAAGUGCCCUCUUGUGUUCUGUAGGGGAGGCACACGAUCCAAGGUCCUUUUAGUCUCAGAGGAUGGGAAGAUCCUGGCAGAAGCAGAUGGACUGAGCACAAACCACUGGGUAAAAACCAUACUGAGGGGAUCAGAGGGCUUGGUUCUGAUUUUAUUCUCUGUAAUUCCUGUUGAGGUGGUGGCUGGGACUCACAGAGCAGCCUGUGGGGGCAACAUAGCUUCUGUAAGCCUUUGUAACUCCUUCUUCCCUUGAUUGGGGCCAGCUGAUCGGGACAGACAAGUGUGUGGAGAGGAUCAAUGAGAUGGUGAACAGGGCCAAACGGAAAGCAGGGGUGGAUCCUCUGGUACCGCUGCGAAGCUUGCCUACUGGAUCGCACACCAAGCAGUGAAAAUAGUGUUUGACUCCAUUGACAACCUAGAGGCGGCUCCUCAUGAUAUCGGCUACGUCAAACAGGCCAUGUUCCACUAUUUCCAGGUGCCAGAUCGGCUAGGGAUACUCACUCACCUGUAUAGGGACUUUGAUAAAUGCAGGUUUGCUGGGUUUUGCCGGA